CAUGUUGACAGGGCCACAUCCUUCAGACACAUCCCACCGGGCUGGGGAGGGCCUGAGCCCGCGUGCAGUGGCGCCGACCCCCCAGGCCCUUGGGGCUGAGGCAACCUUGGCCCUGCACCUUGUUUUCCCCUCUAGCAGAGGCACCCACAGGUACAGAUGGAGUUCAGAGAGUGGGCCACCCCAUACCCGUGGGACCUCAGU
rnacentral:lncRNA from 1 species